AGCGGCGAUGGGAAGGCGGCGUCCGGAAGCGUUGGUGCCCGGGGCGUGCUGCCUUUGUUUUACCGGCUCCCCCUGAGCCAGGGAGCCGAGCUCAGGGUCCGCUGCGUAUCUUGAUAUCUUCUGGUAAUGAACAGAGGGAGUGUUGCUGAUUUCAAAAUUUUUCUAUGGAGUUGAGUAAGCAUCCUACAACAACCGUGAUAGAGACACUCCCAGAACACCAAGAGAAAUACGGAGAGAAGAGAAAAUACUUGGUGGUCAAGAGGAGUACUUGUGAAUAAAGAAAAGGAAUCUUAUGUUCUUGGGGAAGCCCAUAACACAUGACCAGAGAUGGCACCUAAACCACUUGGGAAGUGGGAAAAGUAUGGAAAAAGAUACUGUCGAGAUUGGGAAAGGGAAACUGGAUUAAAAGAAUGGAUUCGAAGUGUACCAGGAGAUGACACAAAGGCAGCAUGCAAAUAUUGCGCAUGUGAAAUCAGAGCCCAUCAUAGUGAUUUGGUUGCACACAGUAAAACCAAAAAGCACAAGAGACAUGUUGCUUUAUUUUCAUGUUCUUCUGAUAUGAAAAAACAUUCAUUUGAAUUUGAAGUUGAAAACCAAAAUUCAUUUGACGAUGAUAUCACGCAAGCCAAAAUGGAUCAAUCUGUUAAUGUGUGUGCACUGAAGCUAGCGGCACACAUAGCUUGCCAUAUGAGCAUUUUUACAGUGGAUCACCUAGGCUGCAUUGUUGGAGGGAUAGCAGAGAAGGACAUUAGUCUGCAUAGAACAAAAUGCUCCACACUGAUUAGAAAUGUCAUUGGUCCUACUGUACACGAAGAACUUCUGAGAGACAUUGGCAAUGGACACUACUCGUUGAUCAUUGAUGAAAGUACAGAUGUAUCAGCACAAAGGCAACUUUGCUUGAUAGUAAGAUACUUUAGCAACAAGCUUAAAUGUAUUGUAUCAUCCUUUGCAGGGAUCAUUAACUUGACUAGAAGUGAUACUAUCACAGAAGCCCUCUUGACAUUUCUAAAUGACAACAAGCUGAACAUAAAAAAGUGUGUUGGGAUUGCUGCUGAUGGUUUCAAUACAAGCUUAUGUGGAAAUAAAAAUUCAUUGCUCAAAAAGUUUUAUGAACUCAAUCCUUGUGGAGUUUUCAUCAAAUAUAGGGGAUCAUAUCAAGUUGAAACAGCAAUGGAAAAAUCUGGAUGCAGUCUCAUGGACAAACACAGAAGAUAGCCAAAUAGAACAGUUCUGGAUAGAAGUUGCAAAACACACAGAUGAAGUUGGUGAUAAGGAUUUUGUUGAGCUAGGAUUAUUUGCCCUUGCCCUUCUCACCUUGCCCUUCAGCACUGCAGCUGUGGAGUGUACAAUCUCACAAAUGAACUUGAUAAAAACCAAGUUAAAGAACAGACUGCAGGACAGCCUACUUGAAAAUAUCUUAAGGAUUAGGGCCUAUAUGUACCGAAAUAAGAUUUGCU